rnacentral:piRNA from 1 species
GUUUAUUUUUAGGUAGCUUCU